UACCAUUUCUAGAGUUUUCUUUAUUGUCGUUUUCUAGGUUAGAGAAUAUUUUGAGGUGUCAUGUGGUUGCUGUGACAAAUAUUCUCCCCCACCAAAAUUUGUUCUUUUUGAUAUGAAAACAAUAUUUUUGCAUAAAAUUCGGUUUUUUCUUUUGCGUCUUUUUUGGUUUACUGCUACAUUUGGAUGAAGGCUGAAGAGAAACGAAGGAAUAGGAAUUUGUUGUGCGAACGUGUAUCUAAUUCAUGACUGCUACGCACUUAUGAGGAAACAGUAUCUUUUGAUUAGUAAAAUUAUAUGCAAAAUCAAGCUUUGGUUUUUCCUCCAAAGAAAAGUGUUCUUUCUGAACAGUUAGGAAUCUUGAGAUAUCUUCAACUGUUAUUAUAGUAAGAAGGGCAAGCUCGUGAUAGAAAAGUUGAUGCUUGACAUUAGCCAGAAAGUAACUCAUUUGUUGGAUACACAAAAUAGGAGCUUCUCUUGUGUGUACGAGAUUGGUUGGAGAUACAAGUUCCAAAAAAAAAAAAAGGUCACAGAGGGCAUUAUCAUAUUCUUAUGGUCUGUUUGUGGGGAAGAGGAUGUUGAAUUGGCUAUCGUGUAUCUAUAACUAAAGGAUUUUUGGUGGAUGCUUUUAUCCAUGUUCCUUUUAUGGUGCAUAACUUGAGUUUCAAAAUGCCUUAAAAGGUCAUAUUGAAGAAGGGGAUCGAGAUUUUGGGAAGAGAACAUUCAUGCUAAUACUAUAGGAUUUUGGUUAAAUUGGUGGUGAAGAGUCUAUGUAGAUCAAAUUGUUUUGUUCUGGGUUUUUCAGUGUUUAUAGAAGAAUAUUUGAGUCUAUCAUAUGGACAAGAUGUUGCUUGGAGAGAUUCAUUGUGAAAUCCUGUUUUUCAUUGUGCACGCAAACACUUAUCAUGCUGCACUUUUUACCAAUUUAUAAUUAUUUUUCUUGAGGGGGCUGCUUGUGACUUUAAAAGAUAUGUACCAUAUGUUAAGGUAGCUAUAUUAUGUCAUAUGUUAGUUGGUGGGUGAAUGUGGGAACUUCCUUCUAAUUUCUACAUCUUUCCAUUCCAAGUUUCCAACAGUCUUGGGUCUCAUAAUUACACGCUAGGACAGCAUCUUGAUUUUUUCUUAAAAACAUUAACUAUUAAAGGAAGUUGGUUCCACUACUUGCAAUCCUCUCUUAGUUGAGAUCCCCUGCAUGGUCCUUGUAAUUCCAUUGCUACCUCUCUUUGUGCUUGGCUAGGGAGACAUAUGCAGUUAGAGAGUGCAUUCUAAUGCUAUUUGAACAUUUGACAUGGGUGUUAAGUAUCCAAUUUUCUAGAAGAACCCGACACCAGGAUCUUCUAUAAUUUGUCCAUGAGGAUACAAAUAUAUCAUAUAUCUGCAUCUUAAAAAAUAUGUAUUUAUGUAUGGUGAAUAAUGAGCUAGGUCUAUGUUCCUUAUGUUCAUCAAGCUUGGUAGAGUGGUUGCUAAUUGUUAUGUUAGACCUGAUAUCUUUCAUAUAGAAGUGCCAAAAUAAGAUAUAUAUCAUGAUGCCAUCAUGAUUUGAUGGCAUGAAGUGUCAAAGAGUGUCAUGAAGUCCCAAGUUUCCAAGCAUCCAACAUGUCAGAAAACUCUAAAAUUUGGGAGUGUCCAACAUAACAUUAUUGGAUUCCUAUAUCUCCUUAUCUGAUUGGAGAGUUAAAGCAAGACAAUGAUUUGGACAAGGAUUCUUCUUUUAAAAGAAAAAAGAAUUUGAGACCAUGACCCUAAACCUGGCCAUAAAACCUUCUCCAUUUAUAUAUAGUGAAGCAUUCAAAUUGCGUUAGUAUAUUGUUUAUUGAUGUCAUUAACUCUUUUUCCUGGUGGAUUUACUUGUUUCCUUUCAUUUGUUGUUUGUAAACGAUUUGAUAUGAUUAUACAUUCAAUGCUGUCAAAGUUUGAGCUAACUGAUUUGGACUCACUCUGAUGAAGUGGUAAUUAGGAUUUUUUGGACCUGUUAAAGUAUGCAUUUACAUUUAUAAGUUUAUGGUCUGAAUUUUUUCCCAUGGAAAGGCAGCGCAAUCAUUUAAUGAACUGAAGGAGUGAAUGGACAAGAAUAUAAGCAUGCAUCUAUGAUGAAACUAAGGACUUAGCCAGAUAAUCAUUCUUUGACUAUUUUGAAUGUGCCAUAGUACUAUGUGAACUGGAGGGUGAGAGCAAUUUCCUUUUUGGCAUGAUGUGGUACGGUAGAAUACCAUAUAUAUUCCUCUUGGUUAUGAAGAGAAUGGACAGACCAAUGGAGAAGUAACUCCAAUGCCAUGAGGAUGUGUAAUGAAGACUUGAUGAGGCACCUUUAAGGGCAGCUGCUUGGGUUUAUGUUUAUCAUUUUAGGAA